GUUCCUGUAGCACAAUGGGUAGUGUGCGUUGGAUUUCUAAUCCUAAGGUAGUGGGUUCGAACCCACCUGGGAUG